CUGAAAAACAGGCUUUAACUGAUGUAGGUUAUACAUAACAAGAUGAAACAAUUAAAAUAAUCUCAUGAGGAAUAAAUCCCAGCGUCAGUCUAAGUUUGUCCUAUGUUAUAUAAAAGUUUGAAAUCCCCUGUGAUAAUGGACAGUGAUUAGAGCAAUGCAUAGAUCUCUUUGCUGAGCGCUCACCUGGCUGUGCAGGGGAUGCACAACAGCCAGGGGCCCACCGCCGUUUUCUUUACAGAGCGUGAAUGAAGGGGGGUUGUUCCCCUCUCACAUGGUAAGCAUGGUAGAAAAUGGAGGAAGACGGAACUGACCGGUUUGAGAGGGCAGACACAGACAGCAGACAUACACUGUACCCACAGCGCUGGAGACAGACCGAGCGGGAGAGACGCUUCAGCUUUAAUAAACAGAAAACACUUGACGCCACUCUCUUUUCAACUCUCAACGCGGAUCAGAUGAUGAUCAGCUGUACCUCAACAAUUACAAAAAAGAAAAGAAGAAGAAAAAAAAUACCCAAGAGCACCAUCUGCAAACAAAAUCCCCCCUCUGUCUUGUCUGGUACUCUAGGGUUGGGUGUUGACGCAGCAGAAAUUUCCAGCUGGAGAAAUCCCCCAAACGGAGGUUAAUCGAGGGGAGAAGGAGGAGGGUUUAAGCCCUUGUCUUCCAGACUCAGAGCGCUUUCAUUUUGAAUCCCCUCCAGACGGCUGUACGGAGCAUCACUCGUAUUUUCUGGAGAGGCUGAAUGGGAAGGCGUGGGAUGCACCAGUCAGGAGAUGGUUUCAUCACGAGCGGGAGCCAGGGGGGUCGCAGUGUGCCGUCCUUCUUGUUGAUCCAUGCUGGUAAGGUUCUCAGACACUCCCUCCUCAGGUCACCGGCUCUGUUUGUCCUAGUCCACCUUUCCUUCUACCCUUUUCCCUCCCACCCCUCCAUCUCCUCUCUUCCUCUCCUCGCCUGACCAGUUCCUCUAAUUUGGUUUCUAAUUUUUGUUCUGCACCUCAUCUCCUCCACCUUCGUCUAUGUGGGGGUAAAGUGCAGCCCCUCCCCUCAGCGGUGUUUGUGUUUUCUCUGUUAAUAUAAUGUGUAUGCGCACUGUGCCCAUGCGGGUUUGUGAGUAAAUCCCCUAAAGUACCUGAGGUUUUUAGCUGUGCGGUCCUUCUUCAAAAUGAUGAUUUAACACUGGUGGCCUUUGGGAAAACACGCUCCACAUAAGACUCCUGGUUAACAUGCUGGGAGAAACAUGUUGGUUUAUAUCAUGUGCAAAAAACCCACACAUCCAAAAGUGCACGCAAACACAAAAAUGAAGAAAAAAGUCAGACUGAACAGACCAAUAAAUAAAAUGUGAGCCUGACUAUGUGUAUGAUGUGUUUUUCUGUGUGUGUGGGUUGUCCAGAUGUUACUCAUGUUGUGGAUCUGUUUAAGCAGACACAUAAUGGGGGUAUGUCUUGGUUAGGGAGUCCCAAUGAUGUAAAUUAUUAAACUGUACAGUGAAGACAUUCACCGUAUAUUAAGUUUAGCGUAAGGUCAGUUUAAGGUGAGGGUUAACCAAGUACCUGCUAUCGUUAAGGUUAGAGAGAAAUCAAAGUAAAGUCAGUAUAUAUCUGUAAUAUGUGUGUUUGUGUGUAUGUGUGCGUUUGCUGGACAGAGAGAAAUUGUGCAUAGCGUGGUAGUAGAGCUUACAGUAAAUGGAGACAUUUAGGAAAGCAGUACACAGACACAAACACGCGGAUCAAAGAGGUUUGAGCAUUACAGUACACUGGGGAACAAAAGGAAUAGAGAGAGGGAGAGAAGAGGAUGUGAGUGAAGGUGAAUAGAAACCCCAAUCAAUAUGGCAUCCAAGAACAGCUUGAGCUAACGAAGGAGCGCAGAAAGCGGGAGAAAGCGAAGAGAGAGAAAAAAGUAGGUCAGAUAAUGAGUGGAGAGGGUGAGUGUUUGUGUGGAGGACAGAAAAAGGGAACAGAGCUGUGAUAGAACAACACUGGGGGUCAGGACAGAGAGGAGAGACCGUGAAUGAGGGAGUCACAAGCUCCUGACCCAUACUGACCUCUCAGCCUGGAGGACCUGAAGAGCUCAGGGCAGGGGAGGGGAUGAGGUGAGGUCUUGUGGGAGGUUUGGAAAAGGACGAGGUGAUAUUGAUGUGGCCAAAACAUCAGGGGAGGGAAAUGAUGGGAGGAGGAAUGAGGUUGAUAGUCAAAAGGGAUGGGGGUCAGCUGGCAAUCCAGGAACAGUAGGGAUUCCUCUUUUUGCUCUCACGAAUACUGUACACAACUCCGAAAUUGAGUUCACCUCAAUACUCACAUCAGCUGUGUGUCUCCUUCAUAGGCCGUUCUGGUAGCGCACUCACAUUUGCGCAUGUCACACAUCUACCUGGAUAACAGGAACAUUUAUUUUCUAAUCACUAACAUGUAGCAAAAUAAACAACUUCACAUUCCUAAAAGCUCCAAAUGUGUGCCAGGAUAACUGGCACACAUUUUGUUUGUACCCUAGGAUCAUUGGCUAAUCCACGCGACCCUGUCUUGAGGAUGAUUCCCUGUUCAAAAUCCAGUUUAGUCCUUUGAAAGAGGAAACACAGGGCUCAACAAUGAAAAUCUUUACUACUACUGCUGCACAGACACUGAGAAAUAUUCUGUGCUGAAAAGGGAUUGCUAGGCAGGUUUGUCUCCCAGUGCCCCUACUGUAGGUUUUCUCAUGAGAAGCAUUUUCACAUGUUUUCACACAAAUCAAAGAUGGUGGAUUUCUGUUUCAGUUUCACUGCUGUACAAGGAUCAGCUGUACUUUUCUUUAUAAUGAGUUAAAACGGCUGCUCUGAAAAGGCCUCUUGUGCUUUUGCAGACAGAGAAGUUGCCCAGUGGUGGUAUUUGUUGUAAAGGAAAUGAAUAAUGGACCCAAAGCAAUUCUUUUUUCCUUUUUCUUUCUUUCUUUCUUUCUUUUUUUUGGUGCUGCACAUACACUGAAUUUAAAUUUUUGAAAGAUAAUAAUGCAGUCAGCGUGGUCGGGUUGGUAGUCCAUGUAUGCAACCAGUAAAUGAAUGUUUCUGUGAUACGUGGCUCUUCAGACAUCAACGUUGUGCACCGUGAUGAUUUGACCUUAUUUAGCACUGCACUCCUGUAACAUUGUUCAGUCAUGAUGUAUGGGUUUGCAAACAGGAUCAAAAACCUUGCAGCAGACUAAGAAUUAGAAUAUCUAUAUAUUUCUAUUCCAUACUGUUUUUUCCUUGUCAAAUCUUGGCAUCUACAUUAGCUACUAUGCAACUCAUUUCUUGGCAGUUUGCUCAGAGAUUUGGGCGUGAUCUUUGGUUGGGCCUCCAGCCACUAGCCUCAAGUAGAGAUGAAGAGCCAGCUCACCUCUUUCCACAACUGGCCACAACUGAUACUGAGUCAAGGAGCAUCACUUUAGGCUGUCCAUAGCAUGUUUUCUUUCUUCUUCUCCACACUGCACGUAGGCAUGCAAUCUACAGAAAUAACCUCCCAAGAUCUGUAAACACACCUCGGUGUGCAAAUCGAAGCAUUCCACCCCGUAAGAUUUCAUUCUGUGUAACCGUUUGAUAUAGGCUUAGGACCAGUGUUGCAUGUUAUUCUGCUGUAACUAUAAAAUAAAUAUAGGAUGAAAUUAGAACAAAUUUGGUUGUCAGAAUUGACAGGGGUUGCAGAGCACCAGCCAUGUUUGUUCAGCUGUGAAAGACAGAAUCAAAGUGUCUGCAGUGGCAGAAAGAACCUUGAAUUUUGGAACUUUUUGUGAAAAUUGCAUCUUGAUCUGAACGUGCACGCAGCAGUAGUCAAACAUGGAAUAUGCCAUCUUGAUUUAUUUUUUUUCCAGAAGGCUUUCUAAUACCUCAGAGUGCUUGCUGUGGAUUGCAAUGGAUCGGGAAAGAUUCAUUUUGGUCUCCGAGUGAAGAACAAACUGCUUCGAAAUUGUCUGUAAAGAUAUUUAUUGUAACUUAAACAGUAAAAUCAAGUAAAAUUCUGGAACCACUUAUGUAAAAUGACUAAAUAGCGAGUUCUCCUCCAGGCACGUAUGAACACUACAGACUCUGCUGUCACUGCAUGUAAAUAAUGAAUUCGGAUGAUUUCAGUUAGAUUGUACUCAUAUCUUGUGAAUCUGAGUCUACAUGCCCUUCAUUGCAUUUUAAUAUAUGCUAGUAAAGCAAAGUGAGCACAAGAAUAGCUGUGGGAUGGCGUUGGCAGCCUAUCAUUAUGUAUAUAGAAUUUUUUCUUUAGCACAGUUCUUUCAUAUAUAUAUAUGAAAAAAACACAGUAAGUGAAUGUGGAGGCUUUGAGAUGCACGUCUUUUCUUUAUGCUCACAUAAGCUUUUACAUUUAUUGUCUCUCUAUCAAGUGAAAUCGAUACAUAUUGCCGACGCUGAGUACUACCAUGCUGUAGAAAUGUUUAUGACCAUGAGCAACAUUCCUCCUUCUGUUGCUCUUUGUGUACCUCCAUCCUGUCUCCUACAGCCUCAGUUCUGGCUCUCCAUCCCUCCCUCCUCUCUUCUCAUCCCUACUGCCUCCUUCUUGCUUUCUCACACACAUGCACGCACACACACCCACAAACACACACGCACACACACACACACACACUCUCUCCCUUUCUUCAGCCUCCUCACAGUCCAGAUGGCCUAACUGCCCCCACACUCACUCCCCCACAUACACUCAGUCCACCAUGCGCUCCACCCCACUCCUCCUCUCCCCCUACGGGAACAGCACUCC